UUUAAAGGGCCGCGGUAAUUUGACCGUGCGAAGGUAGCAUAGUCAGUAGUCUUUUAAUUGGAGGCUUGUAUGAAUGGUUGGACGAGGGACAAGCUGUCUCUUUUACGGGAUUUGAAUUUAACUUUUGAGUGAAAAGGCUCAAAUUAUUUAGUGGGACGAUAAGACCCUAUAAAACUUUAUACAGGUUGAGUUCAAUUUGUGAUUUGUGUGAAAAGUAGUUUUAUUUGGUCUGUAUUUUGUUGGGGCGACAUAGAUAUAAUAUGUAACUGUCUAUCAAAUUAAAUAGUGUUAAUUAGUUUUUGAUCCUUCUUUGUGGAUUAGAAGAAUAAGUUACUUUAGGGAUAACAGCGUGAUUUUCCUUGAGAGUUCCUAUCGACAGGAGUAGUUGCGACCUCGAUGUUGAAUUAAAAUUUCAGCUAGGUGUAGCCGUUUAGCUGGUGGGUC
rnacentral:rRNA from 1 species